GUGACCUUCACCCACUGGGCCGCGGGAGAACCCGUCCAGCGCGUCGGCCUCGACCAACACUGCGUGGCUGUGUUACGGCAGACUGGAAGAUGGAAGCUAAUGUCCUGCGCCCAAGUCAACAGCUUCAUGUGCAAAAUGCCCACAGCGCAUUUUCCAAUUGCCUCACCGGAGCCACAGGUGGCGCCGUAGAGUCCGCCUGGCUGUGUCAGUUCCCAACGGCCCAAGAGCCCAUGGAGAACAUUGACAAUGCAAGCAAGUCAUUAUCGAAGACAAAGAUUGAAUGCCCUUCCUACUCUGCUCCAAAGAAAUAGUAUCACCAUUGUAACAAAA